rnacentral:rRNA from 1 species
GCGGCCUAUCAGCUUGUUGGUGAGGUAAUGGCUCACCAAGGCGACGACGGGUAGCCGGCCUGAGAGGGCGACCGGCCACACUGGGACUGAGACACGGCCCAGACUCCUGCGGGAGGCAGCAGUGGGGAAUAUUGGGCAAUGGAGGGAACUCUGACCCAGCGACGCCGCGUGCGGGAUGAAGGCCUUCGGGUUGUAAACCGCUUUCAGCAAGGAAGAAGCGAAAGUGACGGUACUUGCAGAAGAAGCACCGGCUAACUAUGUGCCAGCAGCCGCGGUAAUACAUAGGGUGCAAGCGUUGUCCGGAAUUAUUGGGCGUAAAGAGCUCGUAGGUGGUUCGUCACGUCGGAUGUGAAAAUCUGGGGCUUAACCCCAGACCUGCAUUCGAUACGGGCGAGCUAGAGUGUGGUAGGGGAGACUGGAAUUCCU